rnacentral:lncRNA from 1 species
CCAGAGCUGGCCCCACGAAACAUCCAAUGUGGGAACAUGGGGCUCGACGCUUUUGUCUCAUUGAAUACACAUUUUGUCCCUUGGUUAGUGCCCGAGCUGCAUCUAACUGGUGGCGUCGGCGUGAGAUGUGAUGUCUAAAUUCGGAGUCCGAGAAAGCUCUCCAUCUUCCAUAACACUGUGUUCUUGUUGAGCUGUCCACCGGGUCCCUAUCCACAUCGAUGCUGGUUCGAUUGUCGUCGAUAUGAUACAACUAUGGAUGCCUCUUUUUUAAGUUGUCCAUCGUCCUGUACGAACUCUAGUCAGCCCUGCCCUGCCCGUUGAAUGAUGAA